rfam:Oryza rufipogon genomic scaffold, chr06
UUUAAGCGUAGCCAUGAGUCAUGCGUUUCCGUAUCCAAUUUUGAUUGUCCGUCUUAUUUGAUUUUUUUAUUAGUAUUUUUAUUGCUAUUAGAUGAUAAAAUGUGAACAUGACUUAUAUUUUUAUUUUUUUUCAAAAAAAAAAUAAAUAUGACGGACGCUUAAAAUUAGACAUAGAAAUUCAUGGCUGCGCUUAAA